AUCCACCUGAGUGAACAUAAAUUCAGUUCUUUUUGCGGCACUAAAAGUGCAUUCAAUUUGUGUAUCGUGCAAACGUGCACAUAGUGUGUGAUUAUUGUUUAAUAAAGGCCUUGGAGUCUGUGCUACGUUCGGCGGGGAAAAUAUUAAACAUCGUUCUGUAGCAAUCCUUAGUUGCAACGACGCUACUGAGACGCCAGCGCAGAGACACUGCGAUCAGUUACUCGUAGCCAAUACGCCACCAAUUGUACAGACACACACACACACAUUCCUUUUGUGGUAUUGCGAAGCUGUUGCUUGCGCGCAGACGCGCUUUCAUUUGGAUAAGUUGGCGAGAACUCACUGCUGUUGAGACGUCACGCUGUUCCUGUUGUCGACACGGUGUGCACACUCUCGUGGCAGAGACACUGUGCACCCACCCCUAUUUGAGUCGCUGCCGCUGUUGCGUGCUCAAGCGCUGCAGCCGACACACACAGUCAACAACGACGUGGCAUACAACCUGCUAUACCCGCAGUUGCUAUACCUGUGGCCUCAUGGCUCUUGUUGUUCUGACAACAAGGAUGUGGAACUAACCUCUUCGAAGACCUAACCUGAAAAGAUGACCCUGAUGAUAUAAUAUCGCUUUGGAAGCGAGUAUGCUGAUUUUGAUUUUGCUUUUGAUUUUGCGUGUCUAUUGAAUUUCACCCAAUGGCACUUAACGUAACGUAAAUGAUAUAUAUUAUUCAAUUUAAAUUACUUUAAACCUUUUUAUUUGAAAUAUUUAAAUACUGAUGACAUAAAUUGUCACAAGAAAAACGAACGUAUUGAAACAAUUUGUAGCCAAGUAAGAUAAAUAUAUUCUGGUAUGGUAUGUAUAUAGUGCAGAAACCUUAGCUGUUAUAUAUUCUAAUCCGUUUUGAAGUUCACACAGCAAACCCUUCGUCUUCAGGCCUGUCGACAUCGUGGGAAUAUUGAAAUGCUGAAUUAAAGUAUGUGAGUACGGCAUGGCCGAAUAAUAACAAUAUGUAAGUCUAUAUAACAGCGAAUUUUGAAGUAUUAUCGUAACAUAUACCUACCACUCAGAAUUAAAUUUAUGAGCAUUCACGUAUCUCAGUAUUGUUUGUGAAGAUACUUAUAUAAUUCUUGAAUUGUAAUAAAAUCCUCAAAUGGGGGUAAAAAUAUGAAAUGUAUUAAUAUCGAA